UACGGAGGGUGCAAGCGUUAUCCGGAUUCACUGGGUUUAAAGGGUGCGUAGGCGGGCAGGUAAGUCCGUGGUGAAAUCUCUGAGCUUAACUCAGAAACUGCCAUGGAUACUAUUUGUCUUGAAUAUUGUGGAGGUAAGCGGAAUAUGUCAUGUAGCGGUGAAAUGCUUAGAUAUGACAUAGAACACCAAUUGCGAAGGCAGCUGACAAAACUGUAACUGACGCUGAGGCACGAAAGUGUGGGGAUCAAACAGG
rnacentral:rRNA from 1 species